rnacentral:rRNA from 1 species
CCUACGGGUGGCAGCAGUGAGGAAUAUUGGUCAAUGGGCGAGAGCCUGAACCAGCCAAGUCGCGUGAAGGAUGACGGCCCUACGGGUUGUAAACUUCUUUUGUCAGGGAGCAAUUGAGUCCACGUGUGGGCUUCGCGAGAGUACCUGAAGACAAAGCCUCGGCUAACUCCGUGCCAGCAGCCGCGGUAAUACGGAGGAGGCGAGCGUUCUCCGGAUUUAUUGGGUGUAAAGGGUACGUAGGCGGCUUUGCAAGUCAGAAGUGAAAUCCAUGGGCUUAACCCAUGAACUGCUUUUGAAACUGGAGGGCUUGAGUGGAGUAGAGGUAGGCGGAAUUCCCGGUGUAGCGGUGAAAUGCGUAGAGAUCGGGAGGAACACCAGUGGCGAAGGCGGCCUACUGGGCUCUAACUGACGCUGAGGCACGAAAGCGUGGGUAGCAAACAGGAUUAGAUACCCCAGUAGUC